UCAUCUAGUACUGGAAACUUCCGAAAUUGUCAUGAAUAUCAAAAAUAUAAUAUGUCCACAAGGGGACUUCAGUGUACUGAAGAAACUGCUUCAAAUGAAUGAAUCCAACUUCAAGAAAAACAAUCUAAGCUACAUUGAUGAUGCUUUUCUACAUGCAAAGAAUAUUCUGAAAGACAUUUCAGACGAUCGUAAGAAAUGUCUGCAAAAGCUCGUUCAGUGUAAAGACUUUAUCCAGUGGACUAAACAAGAACUUAAAGACAUCAAUGAGCUGAAAGUGUUUGUUGACCUGGCAUCAAUCUCU